AUUUACGCCCGCCCUCGCCGUCUCCUCCAGCUCCACCUUCACGCUCCCCCCUCCGAUCGCCGCCACCUUCGCCACCGUCAGCGUCUCCCCGCCCAGCCGCACCACCGCCUUCCGGUACUCUGCCACCAUCCUCUUCACCUCCUCCAGGUGGCUCCCGCGCAGUGACUCCGCCGCCGCUCCCCAGUUCAGCGGGUCGUACUCACCGCCGCAAGCAACGGAAGACUUCUCACCGGCGAUUUCCAUUCCAAGAGGGAGAGGGAGAGAGAGAGAGAGAGAGAGAGAGAGAGGCGAUCGUGUAAUGAAGAGGAAAUCUUGGGGUGCUUGGGGGAUGGACUUCCUGAGUUGAACGUUGGGUGCGGAGGUGUUUAAAUAGGGUGUGGGGGGUGGGCCCACUAUAUUUUAUUUUGGGAUUGGAUCAAGGGGCGUGGCAGGUAGGCCUAUGAGGCGGGGUUGGUCGUGUGGCUCUAGCUGACGUGUUGUUGAGGACGAAUGGUGGCCGUUCGAUGGGGUUCGUCGGAAUCCAACGAUGGAGGAGGGGUGACAUGCUUUUCAUGUGGGCUAUCUAUAAGAAAAAUGUUGAUAACCACAGCAAACUAGAGACGACGCAUUGCGGUGGGUCGAAGUUGUUCGUCAGUCAUCGAAAGGGUUUGCGGCUAUAACACCACUACGAUGAUGAUAGGCACUAUAGUCGGGUCAGAUGCGUGUAACAUUAAUUUUGCCUUUUCCUGUAUUGUUUGUUAUCUGAACAAAACUAUUUUUCAUUUUUUAAUUUCAAUUUGCAUUUGUAUAUAUGAAUUUGAAGUUUGAAUAAUUUGUAUUUGAAUUUUGAAUAAUUUAUGAAUGUUUUAGUAAAUCUGGUUUAA